rnacentral:rRNA from 1 species
GAUGAACGCUGGCGGCGUGCCUAACACAUGCAAGUCGAGCGAUUCUCUUCGGAGAAGAGCGGCGGACGGGUGAGUAACGCGGGGGUAACCUGCCCUGUACACACGGAUAACAUUCCGAAAGGUAUGCUAAUACGAGAUAAUAUGCUUUUAUCGCAUGGUAGAAGUAUCAAAGCUUUUGCGGUACAGGAUGGACCCGCGUCUGAUUAGCUAGUUGGUAAGGUAACGGCUUACCAAGGCGACGAUCAGUAGCCGACCUGAGAGGGUGAUCGGCCACAUUGGAACUGAGACACGGUCCAAACUCCUACGGGAGGCAGCAGUGGGGAAUAUUGCACAAUGGGCGAAAGCCUGAUGCAGCAACGCCGCGUGAGCGAUGAAGGCCUUCGGGUCGUAAAGCUCUGUCCUCAAGGAAGAUAAUGACGGUACUUGAGGAGGAAGCCCCGGCUAACUACGUGCCAGCCGCCGCGGUAAUAC